CAAGCUUAGUUUGGAGACUUAAAAGUUUGGAUUGCUAUUUUAAACAGUAUAAGUAUAUAAGGUAGUUUGUUUUUGUUUUUUCAAAGUUCACCUCUAAUACACUCUUCUCGGUGGUUUAAUGUCUUCUAUACAUAGCGAUCGCGAUUUUUUUUAAAACUAUAGAGAAAGAGAGAUAAAGAGUGUCUACGAUUUUCUAUCAACUGAUGUAUAUAUUUUUACAUGAUUAAAUUUUUUCCACGUUUUUCGUUUGGAAUCAGUUAACUUUUUUCCCUUGUAGAGUUUUCUAUACUGUACAGCUACUAUGUAUUCCAUUGAUAUUUUCUUUCGUCAUAAAACCAAUCAGUUUCCAUAUGUUUUACAAUAUUUUCAAAAUGUCACCCGUAUUACUUGAUACC